CGCAUACAGCAUAUUUUUGGGUGCAAUUUGGGGUGUGACAGAGAGGGUGUGAUGCGUUUUGGCAUGUGUGCGGGAGUGAGAUGGGGCACGUCCCUUCUUUUUUUCGUCUGUGAAUUUUUAUUAAAAUGCGCAGACGUAGCUAAAGGCGGAGUUGACGGUUGUGUUUUUCUUUGGUGCGGUCGACCGGAAUUGGCAUUCACGGGAACAGUAUCUCAUCGACGUCGUUUUAGGUGAUUGUGGCGUUUUGUGAGCAAGUCUCAUAACGGGGCGCGCUUUCUUCGAGGGUACUUCAUCACAUCCACCACGCAUACAGGCGCAUUAUCACUCGAAACGUCGAAAGGUGAUGAUGUUUGAGAAGGGAAAAAAAAGCCCAAGUCACUGGGAAGGAAAAGCUAAAACUUGUACAAGUGAGUGUUUGUUCGUCAACACCAUCCAUCCACUCUUGGUGGGUCUUGUGUGCCCAUUGUUUCUACCAUCUUCGCAUUAACCCCGCGAUAGAGUCGCCUGAUGGAAGCGCGACACCGAUGAUGAGGGGCACACAGGCUACAACGCGGACGAUGAUGUAAAAAGCAUUCACCAUAUUUUUAAUGCCUCUUGUGGUGUGUGAACGCACAACGUGUGUUAAAAUAACUAUAAAAGAGUGAAUCGAGUUUUGUGGUGAAACCUGUUUCAAAAAAUAUCUGUUGACGACUCCCAGCCAUCAUGUUUUCGUCUUUACAACCACCACUCUCUUCCAAGGAUCUCUAUCGCGCCUUCUUACAAUUUUUUCUUCCCAUCUUCCUUUUCUUCUUCUUCUUCUUUUUUCGGAACUUAAAAGCACUAAAAGCCAUUCCUUGAGAGUUUCUUGAAAAACAAAAAAUGAGAAAGAAAAAAAUCUGUGCCAAUCGUCAAGACUCCUUUGGUGCAAAGCAAAUGCUGCACACACAACUCACUUGUCGCUAAUCAAUCGCCAACACCAGAUCCACUCUCAGGUUCCUCAGGUUGCAGCCACAGAUUGGAAGAUGAAGCAAAAAAAAUUUUCUCUGGUGGUUGUGUACAUAAUGAAAAGCAACCUAGCUCUCUCCAAUAGUGAACAAUUUAUCGUGUGUCUCUAUCGGUAUCGUUCUUCGGAGUUUUGACUUUUUUUUUUACUCUUGUCCACAUUAUUUCUCUAUCUUGAGUCAGUCGGCAUUUUUUUCUCAAGUCACUUCUCUCUCUUUCGUUCUUACUCUUCGGGCUAACAUGUUGUUCAAUCCCAACAAAAGUGAUCUCUAACUGGUCUUUAAACAUUCACGAGAUGGACGAAAAAAAGGCACCGCGAACAAAAAACCAAGUAAAAUACUGCUUUUGUUGAAAAAAAUUUAAAAAAAAAACGAACAUACGUACAUAGUAAAGGAGAUCGGGAUGGAAAAAAGCGGCGAACAAGAGAGGCAACAAUAGAUGAAUUUAAUGGAUUUUUCCAUAAUUUACUCGCGUAGAUCGUUUCGAGUAAAAGUUAAGAAGUGAUUAAUUGUGUUGUCUGAGACAAAUGGGGCCAGAGCCAAAAAGAUGAUUUCGGGACAACAACAACAACAACAACAAAACCUUCCAUUGACGAUGACAAAGGUUCUUGAUUUGGAAAACAUACCUGAAUUGUCUGAAUCCCACCAAUAGUCUUGGUAAGUUUUAUUUUAUUACUUAAUCUUUUCAUUCAAUGAAAUUAUUCAAAAAUAAAAUUUUUCAAUGCUCAAAAAAUGGAUUUCUUCUUACUUCAUGAAUUUUUUAUGGAUUGUUUUGUAAAUUAUUUUUUAAAGAGACUGCUAAAAAAUGCAAAAAUUAAAGGAAGAGGUUAAGUUCAUUAAAUAUGUAUAUUAAUUUGUCACAUUGAUUGCUUUUCGUGGAACACAUAGUAUAAAUUCACGCAGUUAUACUUUAAUAUUUUAUAAUAUCCUUCUAAAUUACAGGAAGUAUAAUAUCAGCAAAAAUCAAACGCCCUUAAAUUACGCACAAGGAAACUCCCACAGGGGCAAUUUUUCAAGACAAAAUUCUUAUGAAAAUUAUCUAUUUUUUAUUUCAAAAGGCAAAUUAUUUCUUAGAAAAAAAUAAUUUCCCCUUUUAUCAUUAAAAAUUAAAACUUUAUGCAAUUAUCGUUUUCAUUUUUUUGCUAUUGCCUUAAAUACGUAUACCUGAUAAUUUUUAUUGAAAAGAAUCGAUAACUUUUAAUUUUUAUCGCACUAAGCAUAAUUGUUUUUUAUUAAAUAUUCAAGAAAAAUUGAGAAAAGUAUCAAGAUGUAAUUUAUUUUCUCUUCUAAAUUGUAAUUGAAUUCAACAAAACUUCGUAAAGUUAACACAUUUAACUCUAUUAAAUUACGCGAAAAUGAUUAUAAUUUACACGAUCAUUUUUGAUAAUUUAUUGAAGUUCAAAAAACAGUUUCUACAGCAAUUUACCAAUCUAAGCCUUAUUUAAAAAAAAAAAACUGAAAUUAGCCGUAAGAAAAUUAUUUUUGAAAUGUAAAAAAAUGAUAGUGUCAAGAAAGAUAAUCGUAAAGUUUAAAUACAAAAAACAAACGCAUUAAAUACACAUUUUAAUAGAAUUUUUAUGACCUCAAAUAAACCAUCUAAAUUCCACAAAAAAAAACCCAACAUAAUGAAGUCAUAAAACUCCCUUUGAAGUUGAUGUAUUUAUACCUACAACAACUUCCAACCAGAAGCUCUCGAUUAAUUGCAUGAUUAGCUAAUUAAACAAAAUGUAUGUGAUUUAAUUUACUACACCACCAUCUUCUUAGUGCUCAAAAUCCAGCAAUAUUUCAUUCCAAAAUGCUCCACGCAAUGGAAGUCGCGAAGGGAGAUUGGCAAAAAAAGAGGAAUAGAUGGAAGCGCCAGUGAGAUUAAUUAAUGUGGAUUAAGUAUUCAGCGGUCAUUCCUUUUGUCUACCUUUUGCAAUGUAAUCAAUGGCAGAAGCCACAGCGCGUUUGUGGCUCUCGGCGCUAAGCGUGUGCUUCACCUGCCAAGAUCCAAAAAUAAAUCCAUUAGGCUGGAGAGACGCCAAUGUUGAGAAUCCCUGCCAAGAUGUUUCCAUGAGGUGGGUGAGGGGGGGGGGGAGGCGAUCAUGAGGUGGUGUGAUGGGGGGAGUUUUUGGGUGAGAUGACGCGGUGCAGCGGAAAGGUGCGCGGGAAGGUGAAGAACCUCCAAGACAGAGGGACUCUUGUGGUGGAAUGGAAUUUGAGAAUCACGGUGGUGAGCGUGUUCUUCUAGGACAUAAAUUCACAAAAUGGACCCAAGUGGAGUCACACUGCGAUGGUGGGGAAAAAAGGACAAAAGAUCUCUGCUGGCAAAUUAGCUUGACUGCAUCAUGAAUUGUAUGAUGAAGUUGUUGCGAUGGAAAGAAAGACACCGUGUGGAGCUCACGAGACUCCCCAGUGUUAGAUGAAGAAUGUGCCCAUGGUUCGGCUGGGUGUAUGCGUGGAUGCCAUGGUACUUGGGGGCUUGUGUCCGGAUAGGCAAUGCGAGAAUGUGUGCGAGGUUCGGGUCGCUUGGCGAACGAACCCAGCCCGAGACACGAUGACCAAGAGAGCUGCAGUACAUUUCUUUCUGCUUUUGUGCACACAAGCACCCGACGUUCGCUCUCCAGACUUGGUGUUCCUCAGUUCCAAGCCCAAACCUCUAAGAGGGCCCCUUUAAUCUCGGGAAGAAGUUCACACUGUGCGGCCCUAUGUCGCACUUGUGUAACCUGUGCCGCCUUAUCACGUCACCCGGGUGACGGGACCCAGAUAAGAAAUCCCACGACCAAAUUAGUGUGUGACGCGGAAUUGCAGGUGUUGACGAUGUGCUAUUGACUCUUUCUCUACGCGACAAAGUGAUUAUAAAUGACAACGUAGACAAUUCACAAGAACCCUCGUAGCGACGGCACGUCCAAUUUGAGGAAUACAUAAAAAACGGGUGAUUUUUCCGGAAAAUGUGUGAAGCUGAAAGUUAAAAAAAAAACCAUUGAGAGUGUUUUUCGGAGAACUCUCCCCGGGACCAACGGUCAGUCCAGAUAGGAAUCGAAAGCGUAUUUGGACACACCUUUGACUGGACAGCAUUUCGACGCUUACACAUAUUUUCUAAAUUACACACCACGAUGUACAACUUGAUUACUCCAUGGAGGCGCAAACUUCAACCUUUUUUUUUCUCCAUUGCCCUGACUACUUUUUCGCACACACAACAUCAACAAGAACCACCUGAGGAACCCAGAACGAGUAUGCAAAUCGCAAAUAUUCCUGCCUUAGAGAGGAAGAUGACUUUGCAGCACAAACCCAGGUGAAUAAAUAAACAUUUUAACCCCCAUGUGCGUUUUGGGAUCUUCUUCUUUUUUGGGUGAACUCUAAUUGCCCUAUAUCCGCCCUAGAAUUACAAAUCCACCCCUUUUUUGGGGGCCCUUGGACGAAAUAUGCCUUUUUAGAUAUUAUUCAUUCAACUUUCCCGCCCUUCUUAUAAUCGAUUCCCGUUCAUUAACCCCUUUGGAAGAAUUUUGUUCGGCCAUACAGCCCGUCCGAAAUUGGGUGUGCAAACAUUGACCUCAAUAUCUCAUACAUGGGUAUCAAUCUUUAAAUUUAUGUGCUCUUUCGGUUCAAUAUUUAAUGGGAUUUUUCAAAUAUUUCUUCGGAUAUUUUUCAAAUCAAUUUUCUUUAUGAAAUUUUCAAAAGCUUCGAAAGUAAAAUCCACACUGAUCACCUAUAUUUUAUUAAAAGGACAACAAACACUUUAAUUGAUCAAUAAUUAAAUACUCUCACUGUUUUAUCAAGUGGCUGCUGAUGACAGACUUCCCAUUAAAAUUUUAAUGUCAUUUUCAUUCUUUGUUAUAAAAAAUGCUCAAAUGGAUUUUUUAAGCAUUUAGUAUAGAGCAUACCGCAGUAUAAUUUCUCACUAAAUCAAAUAUUAAUGGUGUGGGUUGAAGAAGAAGAAAAAAAGAAUGAAGAGCGCUGAAAUACAGAAUUCAAGUGCCGAAAAGACUAACGCCAUUAUGAACAACACGAUGAAUCUUUUAUGAACAAAAUGAUAAAUUAAUUUUAAUUCCUUGUAUAAAGUCAAUCAUAACGCGUCCAGUUAUUAGAGUUGGUAUACCACAUCGCGGAUGGGUCAGUCUAUGCGUUGUAAUUUAAUUUGUAAGUAGGAUUAGUAGGCAAAGUUGAUUUUUUUUAUGAAAUUCAUCAAUUCGAAAGACAAAAAUGGUUAUAUCUCAAGUUCCACAAGACCUACAAAAAUUUCGAGACUAGUUCUGGAAAGGUAUUGAAAUAAGCUAUAAUCUGACAUAUAUUUCGAUACAUUUCAAGGUCACCUCCAGAACACAAAAUGGCAGAUUUUUGUUCAACAAAAACAGUUUUUUUCACUUUUCGUUCUGAAGGAAUGGUCCUAGAGGUUUUUGAUGUUCUAGAAAGUUCUAGAGUUUUGCAUAACCUUUAAUUUGAUACCAAAUUGAGCAAAAUCGGACAAGCGGUUCAAGAGAUAUGGCUCUUAGAACUUUUCAAAUUUAAGAAUUUUUCAAAUUGCCAUAUCUUCUAAACGGCGACAUAGAUUUUCUUCAUUUUCGGACUGGUGAUAGAUAUUGAGUCAGGCUACAACAUAUCAAAAAUUCAAGGAAAUCUAUGAUGGGGAUUCGGAGAUAUAGCUCCUUAAAGUUAGGCAAUUUUUGUUUUUGUUUUUAGCGCCUCUUGCGGAUGUUUUUAAAACUUGAAAUGUUCUAAACAGUUGUAGGGCUUCUCAAUACCUUUCAUUUGAUAUCAAGAUGAUCAAAAUCGGUCAAGCCGUUCUCGAGUUAUAUCGAAAAAACACUUUUUGCUUUAGGCCGCCAUAUUUGCUAAACCGCUUGACCGAUUUUCAAGUGUGAAUUGUUGAUGAAAACAUCUCACUAAGCCCUACAACAUACUAAAAUUUCAGACCUCUAGCUACAAAGGAAGUGGUUAACGGUAUUUCAAAAUGGCGGACGGCGGCCAUCUUGGAUUUUGAAAAUGCGAAAAAAUGAAAUUUUACACCCACAUUUCUAUAGAAAACUUCAAACCCGAAGUCUCUAUCUGUUACCGUUCUCGAGCUAUAAGGCAAAAUGGGGACCAACGGCAGGCCGGCAGGCCGGCCGGCCGGAUCAAAAAUUUUCCACCACCAUUUUCGUAAUGUGGGAUGUCUAAAACGUGCUCAUACCAAGUUUGAGCCCGAUCUGAAGUGGUCGGUUUUUCCGAUGAUUACAAUACUUGGUAUGCCACGAUUGUGGUAUACCAACUAAUUUCCUAUAAUUUAUAUUUUCUUCAUAUCAACCAAAAACUGCUUGGCAAUUUUCUUUAAUUAAUAUCCAAAAACCCACAAGACGGUGUGCACGUUUGGAAACCGGUCGUUCUCUGGUGAAAAACCAUCAACGGCUCGAUUCAAGAAAGAAUUCGUAUUUGGGAAAAAAACAUGAUUUUUAUCUCAUGUCUAUUCUCAAAAUGAGACCAUUAAUAAAAGGCAGCAUAUACAUAAUUUUUUUUUUAUUAUUUUGAAAUGGAAAUUGAGUCGUCAAAAGGGGUUAAUGAACCCCAUCUGUGUGUGUCUCAUCACCAAGAAGAACCCAUCUCACAGAUCGACAGUGGAUGGUGGAAGAAGAGACCCUCGAUUCUCAUCUUCGGUUCAAAAUCAAUUGGGCAAAACCUUUUGUGCCAUCAAUUUUGGGGAUAUGGGUGCGCAACGGAGAGGGAAGAAAAAAGUGUAAUAAGAAACAGUAAAAGAUGAUGUGUUCAGAGAUCUUCCUUUUUUUUUUCUCUCUACAACGAAGAAUUUUUGCGGGUUCGGUGAAACAUUUUGGCAUGAAAAGACAUUCAGGUGGCUUUUAGCGUGAAUCUCUCUUUCGUGGUGGCAUGAUGGUAAUUGCAGGCGAAUGGCAAGAGAGAAAUAAGGAAGCCCUUCCAAAUAACCAUUUGCAAUGAUUUAUCCCGUAAUUUUAUGAUGUUCACCACCAGAUUGGGCAAAAAGUGCCACAACAAGAAUAUCUCUCUCUGCGUUUUCACGAAUAUUGGGGACUCAUAAAAAAACCUAAAAAAUAUUUUCUUGAGUGCUGUGCGAGUCAAGGUGAAUUGACUGCAUGUUUAAGGGGUGGUCAAAACUUACAUUUUAGUUUGAAUUUAAAAAGAAAUAUACAGAGAAGGAUACAAAGUCCUUUAAUUUAUGUUGAAAACAUGGAAUUUCUUUUUUAUUCUUUUCAAGAAUUUCUUGAAUAAUUUAUUUUUUUUAAUAAAAUGAAAACAAACAAACAGUCAAAGUACCUUGUUCGCGUAUUUUCGUGUAUUGUUGGGCAAUUUUCACGCAAUUGCCGAAAGAAAAAGGCAGGAAAAGAGGACCAAAAUGCAGGAAUGUCUCAUAUCCAAUCCAUUUACUCUACAAGGAGUCGACGACCAGAAGCAAAAGAAACCACAAUGCCGUCAACACGCUAAUGACAGAGUGGCAAAAACUUCUCGUAGGUAUUUCCUCAAAAAACAUACGUAUAUACCUACAUAUUCCUUUUCAUUGAUCAUCAUUAAAGUGACCACAAAAGCGAUCUCGUUACUGCAAAAGGGGUCCCUUCCACAAACUUAUUUUUUUGUACCCCAUCAAUAGAACGGCAAAAAUGUGUCGUUUAAUGAUGAGUUUCCGAUUUAACCAAUGUAUGUUCCAUCAAUAUAUACGUGUAGCUAUGAGUAAAUCAUGCAGAUGUCUCACAACGUUCCGUUUUUACAAUUUCCACGUGUGUGCACCUUGUACCUUUUACACAUAUUAUUAUUAUUUAUUGUUGUACACUUCACAUUAUUCUGCUGUUGGACAAAGAGAGCGAAAGAAAAGCAAUAAAAUGCACUGGGAUGUUGAAUUGGAUGUUAUGUUUAAAUUAUAUUGAGAGAGAGAUAUUAAAAAAAAUAAACGACAACUCAAAUACAUACACCAACAACAACAAAUUUCAACCACAUUGCGCUUAUUAAAAUAAACAGUGAAAUUAAUAUUUAUGUACGACGGAAUGCGCGGGAAAAGAACAUGGUAGACGAGAGACCUUCGGUAUUGUCCAGAUGUGGGGGAAUUGCCUGAUAAAUGUCCGAUAAGAGAUGGACUGUCGCAUUGGGGCACUGCAGUGGGGCAUGCGAUGUUUUUGCAGCAAAUGUAAUGCAAUUUUAUGUCAUUUACUUUAGGGUUUUCCUUUGUAUACAACAUAUUACACUGUGUAGAGGAAGGGAAUGAAUUAAUAGGUAUAUACAGUAGGUACUUAGUUGGUUUAUUUAUUUUACUAUCAAGUUUCACAGCAAAUAACUUGGGCAGAAUUGUCUUUAUCUAUUUUAUUGAUCGUUAAAAAAUUAUUCAAAGUCUAGUUGUUCGAUUAAGCAAAAUUCCCAGAGGUAUUUAAAGGGUUAAGAAAAUAUUCCAAUACUGAUGAUUUUUCUUGCUUUAUAUUUAAUCUUUUAACUCUUAUUUAUCAGAGAAAAAAACUUACCUAAUUCCUAUUUUUUGCAGUUUUCUAAUCUUUACACUUUCCCCAUAGUUUUCCAUUUAACCCUUUAACGUUUUUUGGGUCAUACGGUGACCCAAACGUGAAACAUUUUAUUUUUUCAAUUAUUUAUGAAUGUAAUUGUUUUUUCAUAUUAGAAAUGCAUCAAAAUCACGCAUAAGGGGCUAAAGAAGACGUUCUGACUGAGAAAAGUCCUCUAAAAAAAUUCAUAGAAUAAAAAUCGCGAUAAAAGAGCGCAUGUUUCAAUGUUUUUAUGUUUCACGUUGGACGUUAAAGGGUUAAAAAAAAAUAUUAGUUUUUCCAAUUUCACAAAAUUCAAUCUACAAGAAGGAAAAAUAAUCCUUUUAAAUUGUGAAAUAUUGAAAAGAUGGAGAUUAAUAAAUUAUUUAAUUUCUCAUUCGACAAAAA